rnacentral:rRNA from 1 species
AGAGUUUGAUCCUGGCUCAGGACGAACGCUGGCGGCGCGCCUAACACAUGCAAGUCGAACGAGCGAGAGGAGGUUUACUUUCUCAAGCGAGUGGCGAACGGGUGAGUAACGCGUGAGGAACCUGCCUCAAAGAGGGGGACAACAGUUGGAAACGACUGCUAAUACCGCCUAAGCCCACGACCCGGCAUCGGGUAGAGGGAAAAGGAGCAAUCCGCUUUGAGAUGGCCUCGCGUCCGAUUAGCUAGUUGGUGAGGUAAUGGCCCACCAAGGCGACGAUCGGUAGCCGGACUGAGAGGUUGAACGGCCACAUUGGGACUGAGACACGGCCCAGACUCCUACGGGAGGCAGCAGUGGGGAAUAUUGCACAAUGGGGGAAACCCUGAUGCAGCGACGCCGCGUGGAGGAAGAAGGUCUUCGGAUUGUAAACUCCUGUUGUUGAGGAAGAUAAUGACGGUACUCAACAAGGAAGUGACGGCUAACUACGUGCCAGCAGCCGCGGUAAAACGUAGGUCACAAGCGUUGUCCGGAAUUACUGGGUGUAAAGGGAGCGCAGGCGGGAAGGCAAGUUGGAAGUGAAAUCCAUGGGCUCAACCCAUGAACUGCUUUCAAAACUGUUUUUCUUGAGUAGUGCAGAGGUAGGCGGAAUUCCCGGUGUAGCGGUGGAAUGCGUAGAUAUCGGGAGGAACACCAGUGGCGAAGGCGGCCUACUGGGCACCAACUGACGCUGAGGCUCGAAAGUGUGGGUAGCAAACAGGAUUAGAUACCCUGGUAGUCCACACCGUAAACGAUGAUUACUAGGUGUUGGAGGAUUGACCCCUUCAGUGCCGCAGUUAACACAAUAAGUAAUCCACCUGGGGAGUACGCCGGCAACGGUGAAACUCAAAGGAAUUGACGGGGGCCCGCACAAGCGGAGGAACAUGUGGUUUAAUUCGAUGAUACGCGAGGAACCUUACCCGGGCUUAAAUUGCAGAUGAAUUACGGUGAAAGCCGUAAGCCGCAAGGCAUCUGUGAAGGUGCUGCAUGGUUGUCGUCAGCUCGUGCCGUGAGGUGUCGGCUUAAGUGCCAUAACGAGCGCAACCCUUGUUGUCAGUUACUAACAGGUUUUGCUGAGGACUCUGACAAGACUGCCAUCGUAAGAUGUGAGGAAGGUGGGGAUGACGUCAAAUCAGCACGGCCCUUACGUCCGGGGCUACACACGUGUUACAAUGGGGGGUACAGAGGGCCGCUACCACGCGAGUGGAUGCCAAUCCCCAAAACCUCUCUCAGUUCGGACUGGAGUCUGCAACCCGACUCCACGAAGCUGGAUUCGCUAGUAAUCGCGCAUCAGCCACGGCGCGGUGAAUACGUUCCCGGGCCUUGCACUCACCGCCCGUCA